AGUUUUGCUGGAGGCAUUAGUGCAACAGAAUCUGAACUUCAGUGCAGACAAAUGGGACAUUGAACAUACUUUUCCUUGAAAGAAAUCCAUCAGUGAAAAGGGACAACCGCGGAGGUGAUGUCUUCGAACGUGGUAAAGGGCCUCUAUCUGCAAGCUGGCAUUAAGAUACCAGCAGCUUUAGAUACCACUGUGAUGGGCAACCUUGAAAUACCAAGAGCGGCAAGCAGCAUACCACAUCUUCAUUUUUAGCUCUUUUCCAUACUCUGCUCUGUUUCCCUGGAGAGGAACGAGGCCCAGAAUUCAAGCCAGUCUUCCUAAGUGAGGGACCCGCUCAAAACUGCUCACUGAUGGACAGUAGGUCUUGCCUGUCACUCUUGCUGUUAUGGCAGGAGGUAUUGCAAUGGUGACCAAGCUAUGUCCAGGUUAUGCCUUUCUUCAGAUACUAAGGACUGCAGGCUUCGAGCUGCGCUGUUUGGAAGAAGCAACGUCGUCGUCUCUCACAGCUACGACGCGGCACUGCUCUCAGCAUAUCCUGCUUUUUCCCCCCAUUUACCUGGGCGGCUUCUGCUGUCUCUGUUGCUGCUGCUGGGGCUGCUGCAGUUUCGCUGCCUGUGCUUCACCCUGGCAUGUCUGAGUCGGGAAUCACUCGUCUGCACGCUGCUAAGGAAGAGCAGCGAUGGAACUCUGGCCACAUUUUUUUUUUCUGUUGGUGCUGGAAGAGAAGGGUUGUGA
rnacentral:lncRNA from 1 species